UCGCAUUUUAAUUUCUGGGAGGAUUGACAGAUUGAGAGCUCUUUCUUGAUUCGGUCGAUGGUGGUACAUGUCCGUUCUAAGUUGGUAGUGAUUUGUCUGGUUAAUUCCGAUAACGAACAAGACUCUAGCCUAUUAAAUAGGUGCGUGGUUCUCUGCACCUUGCACCCUUCUUAGAGGGACAAGCGGCUCCUAGCCGCACGAAACGGAGCAAUAACAGGUCUGCCAGUUUAGCUGCCGUCUGACAGGGGUAUUGGUCCGGGGCCGCACGCGCGCUACACUGAGGGAAGCAGCGCGUUUUUAUUCCUGUCUGUUAAGACAGUAAGCUUAGAAAAAAGUGGCUCGAGCAAAUACAGAGGGCUAAAUCAAGUCCGUCGGAUUACCCCGAGCAAUU
rnacentral:ncRNA from 1 species